rnacentral:rRNA from 1 species
AUUGAACGCUGGCGGAAUGCUUUACACAUGCAAGUCGAACGGCAGCACGGACUUCGGUCUGGUGGCGAGUGGCGAACGGGUGAGUAAUACAUCGGAACGUGCCCAGUCGUGGGGGAUAACGUAGCGAAAGCUACGCUAAUGCCGCAUACGAUCUACGGAUGAAAGCGGGGGAUCGCAAGACCUCGCGUGGAUGGAGCGGCCGAUGGCAGAUUAGGUAGUUGCGAGGGUAAAGGCAUACCAAGCCGACGAUCUGUAGCUGGUCUGAGAGGAUGAUCAGCCACACUGGGACUGAGACACGGCCCAGACUCCUACGGGAGGCAGCAGUGGGGAAUUUUGGACAAUGGACGCAAGUCUGAUCCAGCCAUUCCGCGUGCAGGAUGAAGGCCCUCGGGUUGUAAACUGCUUUUGUGCAGAACGAAAAGGCUCUGGUUAAUACCUGGGGCUCAUGACGGUACUGUAAGAAUAAGCACCGGCUAACUACGUGCCAGCCGCCGCCGUAA